rnacentral:misc_RNA from 1 species
UUUAGAGAAUGGGGGGUGGGGUGAGGGAAAGGUGGAAGAUCACCAAUCCUGUUCAUUAAGUUAUUUUAUUUGUUUUUCUUGGUGUUGAAGCAUAUAGUGUCAUGAAAAUAGGCCAUGGUAAUGAAGGUAAGAACUGAAAACAUACAGAAAGUGAAAAUUGAUGUGCAAAAUGUCUGAUGUAUCAUUGUAAGUUGUAAAACUUG